GCCGAUGUAGCUCAGUUGGCUAGAGCAGCUGAUUUGUAAUCAGCAGGUCGGAGGUUCGAGUCCUCUCAUCGGCUCAA
rnacentral:tRNA from 1 species